CCUACGGGAGGCAGCAGUGGGGAAUAUUGGACAAUGGGGGGAACCCUGAUCCAGCCAUGCCGCGUGUGUGAAGAAGGCCCUCGGGUUGUAAAGCACUUUCAGUGAGGAAGAACGCCUGGUGGUUAAUACCCAUCAGGAAAGACAUCACUCACAGAAGAAGCACCGGCUAACUCCGUGCCAGCAGCCGCGGUAAUACGGAGGGUGCGAGCGUUAAUCGGAAUUACUGGGCGUAAAGCGCGCGUAGGUGGCUUGAUAAGCCGGUUGUGAAAGCCCCGGGCUCAACCUGGGAACGGCAUCCGGAACUGUCAAGCUAGAGUGCAGGAGAGGAAGGUAGAAUUCCCGGUGUAGCGGUGAAAUGCGUAGAGAUCGGGAGGAAUACCAGUGGCGAAGGCGGCCCUCUGGACUGACACUGACACUGAGGUGCGAAAGCGUGGGUAGCAAACAGGAUUAGAUACCCCUGUAGUC
rnacentral:rRNA from 1 species